rnacentral:pre_miRNA from 1 species
UAGGUGACACUUUUGAAGUGUCACCUAAAUAUUUAGGUGACACUUUUAUAGUGUCACCUAAAUAUUUAGGUGACACUAUUAAAGUGUCACCUA